rnacentral:misc_RNA from 1 species
AACCUUAUGGACCUGCGGGCGUAUACCUGCGGAAGGAUCAUUACAGAGUUGCAAGACUCCCUAAACCAUUGUGAACCUACCUUCUACCGUUGCUUCGGCGGGCGGGCCCAGCGCCCCCCCGGCCCCCCGCGGGCGCCCGCCGGAGGAUACCCAAACUCUUGACAUUAGUGGCCUCUCUGAGUAUUCUUUACUGAAUAAGUCAAAACUUUCAACAAUGGAUCUCAGAUCGGAAGAGCACAC